AUUGAACGCUGGCGGCAUGCCUUACACAUGCAAGUCGAACGGCAGCACGGGAGCAAUCCUGGUGGCGAGUGGCGAACGGGUGAGUAAUACAUCGGAACGUGCCCAAUCGUGGGGGAUAACGCAGCGAAAGCUGUGCUAAUACCGCAUACGAUCUACGGAUGAAAGCAGGGGAUCGCAAGACCUUGCGCGAAUGGAGCGGCCGAUGGCAGAUUAGGUAGUUGGUGAGGUAAAGGCUCACCAAGCCGUCGAUCUGUAGCUGGUCUGAGAGGACGACCAGCCACACUGGGACUGAGACACGGCCCAGACUCCUACGGGAGGCAGCAGUGGGGAAUUUUGGACAAUGGGCGAAAGCCUGAUCCAGCCAUGCCGCGUGCAGGAUGAAGGCCUUCGGGUUGUAAACUGCUUUUGUACGGAACGAAACGGCCUUUUCUAAUAAAGAGGGCUAAUGACGGUACCGUAAGAAUAAGCACCGGCUAACUACGUGCCAGCAGCCGCGGUAAUACGUAGGGCGCAAGCGUUAAUCGGAAUUACUGGGCGUAAAGCGUGCGCAGGCGGUUAUGUAAGACAGUUGUGAAAUCCCCGGGCUCAACCUGGGAACUGCAUCUGUGACUGCAUAGCUAGAGUACGGUAGAGGGGGAUGGAAUUCCGCGUGUAGCAGUGAAAUGCGUAGAUAUGCGGAGGAACACCGAUGGCGAAAGCAAUCCCCUGGACCUGUACUGACGCUCAUGCACGAAAGCGUGGGGAGCAAACAGG
rnacentral:rRNA from 1 species